ensembl:lncRNA
AACAUAACGAAAGGGUAGUGAAUUUGCCCACAGUGUAUUGUUAAGUUUUUGAAAAUUUUCAAAGCAUUUUCCCAAAAUAUGUGUCAAAAUAAAAUUUGUCACCAAAAAUCAUUCCAUUAGCUGAAACAGAGAAAGUUGUGGCCAAAAUAAGACUCAACUUUACCCCCUAGUGGACGAAAACGUCCCCAACAACACAUAAGGGUUAAAUUGAUUAUUUGAUUAACAAUUUAAUUAGAUUUAAGUUAUUUAUUUACGACAUCUUUAUGUUUAGCCUAUGUAAAUUCUGCGUGUUUUAACGAGCGCGCGCUGAACAUUGGAGUAGCGUUCAUUCAGAUACAAACACCGGAGCGGAGGGAGUUGCCAUGGAAACGGGGCGACCGACAACACUGGCAAGCUGCAAGCUCCGUUUCUUGCUGCUGUUUUCACUGCUUUCGAUUCUUCCGUGUUUGAUGUUCUUCUGCAUCCCAGAGUCUGAGCAAGCCUCCUGUCCAACAACAUCUCCAAGACACACUGAACCAUACGACUAGCAGGUUAACCCCAGACAUACACUAAUGUUCAAAAUUCAGAGUUUUUUAUGUUUUUGAAAAUAAGUCUUUAAUUUUUUUUUAUGCUUACCAAUUUCUGAAAAAAAGCAGAUAAAAAAAGUAAAAUCAAUAAUAUUGUGAAAUAAUAUUACAAUUUAAAAUAGCAUUUUUUUUUGCGAAAUGUAAUUUAUUUCUGUGAUGCGCAGUGUUUCUUUGGCAAGAAAUCAUAUUAUAAUGAUUUCUGAAGGAUCAUAUGACACUAAAGCCUGGAGUAAUGAUGGUGAAAAUCAGCUUUGAUCAUAGCAAUCAAAUGACCCUUUGCAAAAACCCACCCUCGUUAAAUACUGUUGCUGCGUCCAACAAGCCAUGCUGCUCUCACUAUACACACCUUGUUCUCACACAGGGAAAAACACAUCGUGGACCAAAGAGGAAACUGACAACACACAGACAGACAAGACAGAGAAGGUUGCUUCUGCCUCGUGUGUGAAGACUUCAGAAGAUGCCAGACCUCACAAAGAUUUCAGAUGAUGGCAACUAUAGAUGAACAUGCAAAGCUGCUAAAUAAUUCUUAUAUUGUAAUCAUUGCCCUAAAAGGAAGGAUCUUAUCAGCAAAUCUACUUCACAGCACAUCAGUGAAAGCAGUUGACAGUUACGGAUGGGUGUGUUGGAUCAGGGUCAGAUCUGAAUUCUGAUGGUUUUCUGGGAUGACAGUUGAAGAUGAUCAGAACAUCAGAUGUUGGUCUGGACAGCUGUACCUACAGUACACCACACUGACCUCUCUGCUUUUGCAUGGAUAACUGACUUACUACCAUGUUCUGUGAAGGUAUUAUUAUAGCAAACCUGAGCACCUGUGACAGUGGAAUAGUUGUAAUGAAUAGUCACACAUGCAUAUUGGUAAAUUUAAAGUUACAGAUAAUUUUUUUUAGUACUAGCAAUAUUUUUAUUUUUAUUUUUUAUUUUUUAUUAAUUCUCUCCAGCAAACACAACACAACAGUUACACCAUUUCGAAUUCUGAGGUGCACAAAUCCUAUUCUACAAAUAAGAGAACAACAGUAUAAAAGUGCUCAGUUUAGCCUCUUUCACACUGAGAUUCCGGAUAAAACACGGGUAAUGUGUCCCGGCAAUUGUUCCCGGAUUGUUAGAUUUUGGUUCAUUCACACUGCCAGUGAUAGCGUUCACACACAACCCAUAAAGGUCCCGUAAUGACACGAGACAUCAGGAUGUGAUGUGUAAUGUAUGAGUUAAAAAUGCUAGGCCGCCAAUAAACGGAAGAAGGAGAAGAAGCAAAGCAGAAGUGUUUUCAAUGCUUUAUAAACAUGGCAGCUGAUCAGCUACUAGGGACAUUGUUGUUUAUGUAUAAAGCAUCUUCCACACAGAAAUUCCGGAAAAUACACGGAUAAUGUGUUCCAGGAUCCUUUGAUUGUGGUUCAUUUACACUGGCAGUGAUUUUCUGGAAUCUGUGUGUCACACACAACCCAUAAAGAUCCCGUAAAGACACAUGACAUUACGAUGCGACGUGUUUUGUUUCACUUAAGCUGGCGAACGAUCUCAGCUUUAGCACGGAUAGUGAGGAACUAACUGAUCUCUGCUUCAUUACAGUUUGCACAUAUUUUUUCGUCACGAAUGUUGAUCUGCCGUCAAAACACCCGGUAAAAGAGUCGCAUGAUAACGUGCGUCAUCACUACGACACACCCUUUACGCCAUUGGUUCUGGCUUUUGUUCACACAGAGCUCGUUCCGGGACUGAACCCAGCAAUGUUCCUAGGUCCCCAAACCAGGAUCAGUCCCGGAAUCAAUCCCGGGACGUGUUUGCGUUCACACAGAAGGCACUUUGGCAAUUUUCCAGCAAUUUUUUGGGACCACCGUGCAGUGUGAAAGGGGCUUUAGUCUAGCACAGUACACAUUUAGUUACAAGUUAUUUAUUUAUAUUAUUUUAUUUUUUUUAUUUUUUUUACAAAUAAGAGCAAACUGAAUAAAAUAGGAUUGAACUGAAUAGAAAAGGUAAGUGCUAGUAUUAAUUGAUCAGGUGCUGAUGGAAAAAGAGGUGUCUUUAAUGUUUUUGGAAAAUGGCUGAAGACUCAGAUGCUCGAACUGAGAAAGGCAAGUCAUUCUACCAUGAUCUUAUCUACAAAUACUACUAUUCUCAUAAAGUCUGUAAAUAUGUCCAGUUCUAAUAAACACACAUUUCAGGAAAAAAUAAUUCAAUAAUAUGACCAAAAUGAAAUACAGUCCUGCAUAAAUCUGGUAUAACUGAGCCUGUGAAUUUCUUAAUUUGUGAUUUGUAGAAUAGGAUUUAUGCACCUGCAAUGAAGAUUUUUGAGAAGGUUUUGUUGUGUUUGUUAGAGAGAAAGAAACAAAAUACAAGCUUGCAACUCCAAAAACAUUUUCUUGAUGACUUUAUUGAAAUAUUCUCUACAAAUACAAAUUCCACUGUCACAGGUGCUCAAUUUUGUUACAAUAAUAUACAAAGUGUCUCGAAUGUACUAUAGAUGUACUGUAUGCAAAUAUAACAAAAGGACAUUAACAACUGAAUAUUCAGGGGAUGCAAACUUAUCACCUUUAAGUAAAAAUAGUCAUUUUGAAUCCAAAAAUCAUUUGCAUGAUUUGUGUAGAUCCAAAGAGUUUUUAAAAGUGCAUUAGUUAAAUAGCACAUGCUAAAUAGCACAAGGCAUAUUUUACAUGUUAUUUACAUAAUAAAAAGAUAAGGAAUACAUAUUUUACAUCAAAUGUUGCCAUUUUAUAUUAAAAUAUACAAAAGAUAAUACCCCCAAACUUGAGAGAAAUGUAAUAAUGGAGUGAUGGUAAAUGUAUAAAAAAGCAACUAAAAAUUAACUUUAUUGUCUUAGUUAUUUGUCUGUCUAUUGUGGGUUACAUUGUCACCUUUUUCAAACCUGACCUGAAUAGUUCACAUCCCUGAUAUUACAAAGAACUCAAGUUUUAAUUGCAAAUGAAAAUGUGCCUCUCUCUUUUAUACAAGGGUAAGAAUUUUUUUUUUUUUUUUUUUUUUUUUUUAGAAAAGUAAUGAUAGUGAACCAUGACUGAAGCUGUCAGUCUCUUAAAGUUCUGUUUUGCAUCUACUUUUGUGCCCCACUGAAAAUAAAAGUCAAACACAUUUGGUAAUAACAUUUUUAUUCAGUAAAUAUGGCUUUUAAUUUGUUACUUGACACUAUUUAUAUUAGCCUAUAAUAUACUUUAUACCUCUUUGUGUGUGUAUUUGUGUGUAAAUGCAUUUUCUUUGAUAGAUCUUAGAGGGUUUGUGCUCUAAACGUGUAUUUGUAACUGUGUAUAAACUGUAUUGUAUAAAUAAUAAAGAAAUUAUGACAA